rnacentral:rRNA from 1 species
UACAGAGGGGGCAAGCGUUGUUCGGAAUUACUGGGCGUAAAGGGUGCGCAGGUGGGUUUGCAAGUUCGAUGUGAAAGCCCCGGGCUUAACCCGGGAAUGGCAUUGGAUACUGCAGAUCUGGAGGAUCGGAGGGGGGACUGGAAUUCUUGGUGUAGCAGUGAAAUGCGUAGAUAUCAAGAGGAACACCAGUGGCGAAGGCGAGUCCCUGGACGAUACCUGACACUGAGGCACGAAAGCUAGGGGAGCAAACAGG